rnacentral:snRNA from 1 species
CCUCUUCUGAGGACAUCCACAACCUGGAACUUCAACAGACAAGAUUAGCAUUCUCCCUGCGCAAGGCCGAUGACAAUCUUCGAGAGAUAUAGCUUUU